rnacentral:misc_RNA from 1 species
GCAAACUUGGUCAUUUAGAGGAAGUAAAAGUCGUAACAAGGUUUCCGUAGGUGAACCUGCGGAAGGAUCAUUAACGAGUUUUGAAAGGGGUUGUAGCUGGCCUUCCGAGGCAUGUGCACGCCCCGCUCAUCCACUCUACACCUGUGCACUUACUGUGGGCUUUGAAAGCCGUGCUUCUAGUGCGGUAAUCGAGCCUACGUUUUAUUACAAACUCUUCAGUAUCAGAAUGUUUAUUAUGAUGUUAACGCAUCUAUAUACAACUUUCAGCAACGGAUCUCUUGGCUCUCGCAUCGAUGAAGAACGCAGC